rnacentral:rRNA from 1 species
AGAAGCUGUGAUAGCACGUUGAAUGCUCCAGUUCCCAAUGGAUCACUGAAGCAACGUUGCGCGUGGUUGGUAUCCGGAUAGGUUAAAAUAUUUGCAAUAGCAUCCA